CCUGUUUUCUAAGUAUAUUACUGGAUUAGACAUACUUAUCAAUUUCCAAAAUGGUGUGAAGACUGCCAUAGAAGAAGAGUCAAAUGGAGAACAUGAAAAUUCAUACGAAAAUCUGUUAAAGGAUAACGUUGCUGAUCUUCGCAAUAUUCUGAAUCCUACAUUCUGAUUUGCGGACUCUUGGGAAAAUCAUUUCUUGGCUCCAUGAUGGAAAGGAGGAAGAAUACAGCUAUGGAAAUUGUGUGUAUGGGGAGUCAGCUUUAAGGUAAAGCUAACAGCACAGAAAGCAAA